rnacentral:rRNA from 1 species
UUCCCCUAGUAACUGCGAGUGAAGCGGGAAAAGCUCAAAUUUAAAAUCUGGCAGUCUUUGGCUGUCCGAGUUGUAAUCUAGAGAAGUGUUAUCCGCGCUGGACCGUGUACAAGUCUCCUGGAAUGGAGCGUCRUAGAGGGUGAGAAUCCCGUCUUUGACACGGACUACCAGGGCUUUGUGAUACGCUCUCGAAGAGUCGAGUUGUUUGGGAAUGCAGCUCAAAAUGGGUGGUAAAUUCCAUCUAAAGCUAAAUAUUGGCGAGAGACCGAUAGCGAACAAGUACCGUGAGGGAAAGAUGAAAAGAACUUUGGAAAGAGAGUUAAACAGUACGUGAAAUUGCUGAAAGGGAAACGCUUGAAGUCAGUCGCGUUGUCCAGGGAUCAACCUUGCUUUUGCUUGGUGCAUUUCCUGGUUGACGGGUCAGCAUCAGUUUUGACUAUUGGAAAAAGGUUAAGGGAAUGUGGCAUCUUUGGAUGUGUUAUAGCCCUUGGUUGCAUACAAUAGUUGGGAUUGAGGAACUCAGCACGCCGAAAGGCCGGGUUUUUAACCACGUACGUGCUUAGGAUGCUGGCAUAAUGGCUUUAAUCGACCCGUCUUGAAACACGGACCAAGGAGUCUAACAUGCCUGCGAGUGUUUGGGUGGAAAACCCGAGCGCGCAAUGAAAGUGAAAGUUGAGAUCCCUGUCGUGGGGAGCAUUGACGCCCGGACCAGACCUUUUGUGACGGUUCCGCGGUAGAGCAUGUAUGUUGGGACCCGAAAGAUGGUGAACUAUGCCUGAAUAGGGUGAAGCCAGAGGAAACUCUGGUGGAGGCUCGUAGCGAUUCUGACGUGCAAAUCGAUCGUCAAAUUUGGGUAUAGGGGCGAAAGACUAAUC